rnacentral:rRNA from 1 species
GGUUAAGCGACUAAGCGUACACGGUGGAUGCCUAGGCAGUCAGAGGCGAUGAAGGGCGUGCUAAUCUGCGAUAAGCGUCGGUAAGCUGAUAUGAAGCGUUAUACCCGACGAUACCCGAAUGGGGAAACCCAGUGUGUUUCGACACACUAUCAUGGCAUGAAUACAUAGUGUCAUGAGGCGAACCGGGGGAACUGAAACAUCUCAGUACCCCCGAGGAAAAGAAAUCAACCGAGAUUCCCCCAGUAGCGGCGAGCGAACGGGGAGGAGCCCAGAACCUGAAUCAGUUUGUGUGUUAGUGGAAGCGUCUGGAAAGUCGCACAGUAAAGGGUGAUAGUCCCGUACACAAAAAUGCACAAGUUGUGAGUUCGAUGAGUAGGGCGGGACACGUGACAUCCUGUCUGAAUAUGGGGGGACCAUCCUCCAAGGCUAAAUACUCCUGACUGACCGAUAGUGAACCAGUACCGUGAGGGAAAGGCGAAAAGAACCCCGGCGAGGGGAGUGAAAUAGAACCUGAAACCGUGUACGUACAAGCAGUGGGAGCCUACUUGUUAGGUGACUGCGUACCUUUUGUAUAAUGGGUCAGCGACUUAUAUUCUGUAGCAAGGUUAACCGUAUAGGGGAGCCGCAGGGAAACCGAGUCUUAACUGGGCGUUAAGUUGCAGGGUAUAGACCCGAAACCCGGUGAUCUAGCCAUGGGCAGGUUGAAGGUUGGGUAACACUAACUGGAGGACCGAACCGACUAAUGUUGAAAAAUUAGCGGAUGACUUGUGGCUGGGGGUGAAAGGCCAAUCAAACCGGGAGAUAGCUGGUUCUCCCCGAAAGCUAUUUAGGUAGCGCCUCGUGAAUUCAUCUUCGGGGGUAGAGCACUGUUUCGGCUAGGGGGUCAUCCCGACUUACCAACCCGAUGCAAACUACGAAUACCGAAGAAUGUUAUCACGGGAGACACACGGCGGGUGCUAACGUUCGUCGUGAAGAGGGAAACAACCCAGACCGCCAGCUAAGGUCCCAAAGUCAUGGUUAAGUGGGAAACGAUGUGGGAAGGCAUAGACAGCCAGGAUGUUGGCUUAGAAGCAGCCAUCAUUUAAAGAAAGCGUAAUAGCUCACUGGUCGAGUCGGCCUGCGCGGAAGAUGUAACGGGGCUAAACCAUGCACCGAAGCUGCGGCAGCGACACUUAGGUGUUGUUGGGUAGGGGAGCGUUCUGUAAGCCUGCGAAGGUGGCCUGUGAGGGCUGCUGGAGGUAUCAGAAGUGCGAAUGCUGACAUAAGUAACGAUAAUGCGGGUGAAAAACCCGCACGCCGGAAGACCAAGGGUUCCUGUCCAACGUUAAUCGGGGCAGGGUGAGUCGACCCCUAAGGCGAGGCUGAAAAGCGUAGUCGAUGGGAAACAGGUUAAUAUUCCUGUACUCGGUGUUACUGCGAAGGGGGGACGGAGAAAGCUAGGUUAUCCGGGCGACGGUUGUCCCGGUUUAAGCGUGAAGGUGGAUGACUUUGGUAAAUCCGGGUCAUCGUUAACACUGAGGCGUGAUGACGAGUCACUACGGUGAUGAAGUAACCGAUGCUACGCUUCCAGGAAAAGCCUCUAAGCUCCAGGUAACAUCAAAUCGUACCCCAAACCGACACAGGUGGUCAGGUAGAGAAUACUCAGGCGCUUGAGAGAACUCGGGUGAAGGAACUAGGCAAAAUGGUGCCGUAACUUCGGGAGAAGGCACGCUGAUGGUAGGUGAAGUGACUUGCUCAUGGAGCUGAAAUCAGUCGAAGAUACCAGCUGGCUGCAACUGUUUAAUAAAAACAACAGCACUGUGCAAACACGAAAGUGGACGUAUACGGUGUGACGCCUGCCCGGUGCCGGAAGGUUAAUUGAUGGGGUCAGCCGCAAGGCGAAGCUCUUGAUCGAAGCCCCGGUAAACGGCGGCCGUAACUAUAACGGUCCUAAGGUAGCGAAAUUCCUUGUCGGGUAAGUUCCGACCUGCACGAAUGGCGUAAUGAUGGCCAGGCUGUCUCCACCCGAGACUCAGUGAAAUUGAACUCGCUGUGAAGAUGCAGUGUACCCGCGGCAAGACGGAAAGACCCCGUGAACCUUUACUAUAGCUUGACACUGAACCUUGAGCCUUGAUGUGUAGGAUAGGUGGGAGGCUUUGAAGCGUGGACGCCAGUCUGCGUGGAGCCAACCUUGAAAUACCACCCUUUAAUGUUUGAUGUUCUAACGUGGACCCGUGAUCCGGGUUGCGGACAGUGUCUGGUGGGUAGUUUGACUGGGGCGGUCUCCUCCCAAAGCGUAACGGAGGAGCACGAAGGUUAGCUAAUCCUGGUCGGACAUCAGGAGGUUAGUGCAAAGGCAUAAGCUAGCUUGACUGCGAGAGUGACAGCUCGAGCAGGUGCGAAAGCAGGUCUUAGUGAUCCGGUGGUUCUGAAUGGAAGGGCCAUCGCUCAACGGAUAAAAGGUACUCCGGGGAUAACAGGCUGAUACCGCCCAAGAGUUCAUAUCGACGGCGGUGUUUGGCACCUCGAUGUCGGCUCAUCACAUCCUGGGGCUGAAGUAGGUCCCAAGGGUAUGGCUGUUCGCCAUUUAAAGUGGUACGCGAGCUGGGUUUAGAACGUCGUGAGACAGUUCGGUCCCUAUCUGCCGUGGGCGUUGGAAGAUUGAGAGGGGUUGCUCCUAGUACGAGAGGACCGGAGUGAACGCACCACUGGUGUACGGGUUGUGAUGCCAAUUGCAUUGCCCGGUAGCUAAGUGCGGAAGAGAUAACCGCUGAAAGCAUCUAAGCGGGAAACUUGCCUCGAGAUGAGUCUUCCCUGGGCACUUGAUGCCCCUGAAGGGCCGUUGAAGACGACGACGUAGAUAGGCUGGGUGUGUAAGCGUAGCGAUACGUUGAGCUAACCAGUACUAAUGACCCGAGAGGCUUAACCU